rnacentral:ncRNA from 1 species
CCCGCUGAGUUUAAGCAUAUAAAUAAGUGGAGGAGAAGAAACUUACAAGGAUUCCCCUAGUAACGGCGAGCGAACCAGGACCAGGCCAUCAUGAGAAUCGGGUGGCAUCAUCACCCGAAUUGUAGUCCGGAGAGGCGUCCUCAGCGACGGAUCGGGCCCAAGUUCCCUGGAAAGGGAUGCCUAGGAGGGUGAGAGCCCCGUCCGGCCUGGACCCUGCCGCACCACGAGGCGCCGUCAACGAGUCGGGUUGUUUGGGAAUGCAGCCCAAUUCAGGCGGUAAACUCCGUCCAAGGCUAAAUACAGGCGAGAGACGGAUAGCGAACAAGUACCGCGAGGGAAAGAUGAAAAGGACUUUGAAAAGAGAGUCAAAGAGUGCUUGAAAUUGCUUGGAGGGAAGCGGAUGGGGCCUGGCGAUGUGCCCCGGUCGUAUGCGGAACGGCUUCUGCUGGUCUGCCGAUCGACUCGGGGCGUGGACUGUUGUCGGCCGUGCCGGCGGCCUAAGCUCGGGGGCCCUAGGUUCCUCCAGCCGCCGGUCUCCGCGCGCCGCGAGGCGCGCCCCUCAGGACGCUGCGCUGCAACGGCCUGCGAGCUCCCCAUCCUACCCGUCUUGAAACACAG